GUGGGGAAUAUUGGACAAUGGGCGAAAGCCUGAUCCAGCCAUGCCGCGUGUGUGAAGAAGGUCUUCGGAUUGUAAAGCACUUUAAGUUGGGAGGAAGGGCAGUAAGUUAAUACCUUGCUGUUUUGACGUUACCGACAGAAUAAGCACCGGCUAACUUCGUGCCAGCAGCCGCGGUAAUACGAAGGGUGCAAGCGUUAAUCGGAAUUACUGGGCGUAAAGCGCGCGUAGGUGGUUCAGUAAGUUGGAAGUGAAAUCCCCGGGCUCAACCUGGGAACUGCUUUCAAAACUGCUGAGCUAGAGUACGGUAGAGGGUGGUGGAAUUUCCUGUGUAGCGGUGAAAUGCGUAGAUAUAGGAAGGAACACCAGUGGCGAAGGCGACCACCUGGACUGAUACUGACACUGAGGUGCGAAAGCGUGGGGAGCAAACAGGAUUAGAACCCUAGUAGUCC
rnacentral:rRNA from 1 species